UACGGAGGGGGCUAGCGUUGUUCGGAAUUCCUGGGCGUAAAGCGCACGUAGGCGGCUUUGUAAGUUAGAGGUGAAAGCCCGGGGCUCAACUCCGGAAUUGCCUUUAAGACUGCAUCGCUAGAAUUGUGGAGAGGUAAGUGGAAUUCCGAGUGUAGAGGUGAAAUUCGUAGAUAUUCGGAAGAACACCAGUGGCGAAGGCGACUUACUGGACACAUAUUGACGCUGAGGUGCGAAAGCGUGGGGAGCAAACAGG
rnacentral:rRNA from 1 species